GACGAACGCUGGCGGCGUGCUUAACACAUGCAAGUCGAACGGAAAGGCCCGGCGUUUGUGGGGUGCUCGAGUGGCGAACGGGGGAGUAACACGUGAGUAACCUGCCCUUGACUUUGGGAUAACUUCAGGAAACUGGGGCUAAUACCGGAUAGGAGCUCCUGCUGCACGGUGGGGGUUGGAAAGUUUCGGCGGUUGGGGAUGGACUCGCGGCUUAUCAGCUUGUUGGUGGGGUAGUGGCUUACCAAGGCUUUGACGGGUAGCCGGCCUGGGAGGGUGACCGGCCACAUUGGGCCUGAGGUACGGCCCAGACUCCUACGGGAGGCAGCAGUGGGGAAUAUUGCACAAUGGGCGGAAGCCUGAUGCAGCAACGCCGCGUGCGGGAUGACGGCCUUCGGGUUGUAAACCGCUUUCGCCUGUGCCGAAGCGUGAGUGACGGUAAUGGGUAAGGAAGCCCCGGCUAACUACGUG
rnacentral:rRNA from 1 species